AUCGAACGCUGGCGGCAGGCUUAACACAUGCAAGUCGAGCGGGGUGAUGGUGCUUGCACUAUCACUUAGCGGCGGACGGGUGAGUAAUGCUUAGGAAUCUGCCUAUUAGUGGGGGACAACAUCUCGAAAGGGAUGCUAAUACCGCAUACGUCCUACGGGAGAAAGCAGGGGAUCACUUGUGACCUUGCGCUAAUAGAUGAGCCUAAGUCGGAUUGGCUAGUUGGUGGGGUAAAGGCCUACCAAGGAGACGAUCUGUAGCGGGUCUGAGAGGAUAGACCGCCACGCUGGGACUGAGACACGGCCCAGACUGCUACGGGAGGCAGCAGUGGGGAAUAUUGGACAAUGGGGGGAACCCUGAUCCAGCCAUGCCGCGUGUGUGAAGAAGGCCUUAUGGUUGUAAAGCACUUUAAGCGAGGAGGAGGCUCUUUUGGUUAAUACCCAAGAUGAGUGGACGUUACUCGCAGAAUAAGCACCGGCUAACUCUGUGCCAGCCGCCGCAGUAA
rnacentral:rRNA from 1 species